UACGUAGGCAGCAAGCGUUGUUCGGAGUUACUGGGCGUAAAGGGUGUGUAGGCGGUUGUUUAAGUUUGGUGUGAAAUCUCCCGGCUCAACCGGGAGGGUGCGCCGAAUACUGAGUGACUAGAGUGCGGGAGAGGAAAGUGGAAUUCCUGGUGUAGCGGUGAAAUGCGUAGAUAUCAGGAGGAACACCGGUGGUGUAGACGGCUUUCUGGACCGUAACUGACGCUGAGACACGAAAGCGUGGGGAGCGAACAGG
rnacentral:rRNA from 1 species